rnacentral:rRNA from 1 species
AGUGAACGCUGGCGGCGUGCCUAAUACAUGCAAGUCGAACGGAGAUUAAGUAGCUUGCUAUUUAAUCUUAGUGGCGCACGGGUGAGUAAUAUAUAGCUAACUUGCCCAUUACUAAGGGACAACAGUUGGAAACGACUGCUAAUACCUUAUACUCCGUAUCUAUAUAAGUAGGUACGGGAAAGUUUUUCGGUAAUGGAUAGGGCUAUAUCGUAUCAGCUAGUUGGUAAGGUAACGGCUUACCAAGGCUAUGACGCGUAACUGGUCUGAGAGGAUGAUCAGUCACACUGGAACUGAGACACGGUCCAGACUCCUACGGGAGGCAGCAGUAGGGAAUAUUGCUCAAUGGGGGAAACCCUGAAGCAGCAACGCCGCGUGGAGGAUGACACUUUUCGGAGCGUAAACUCCUUUUCUUGGGAAAGAAUUAGACGGUACCC